AGCAGCCGCGGUAAUUCCAGCUCCAAUAGCGUAUAUUAAAGUUGUUGCAGUUAAAAAGCUCGUAGUUGAACUUCGGGGUCUACCCAUUGGUCAGGCUUAAUUGUCUGCACUGGUGAGAUGGAUCUCUACCUUCUGAGGAACUUUCAUGCCAUUUAUUUGGUGUGGUUGGAAAUCAGGACUGUUACUUUGAAAAAAUUAGAGUGUUUAAAGCAGACUAUCGUCUGAAUACAUUAGCAUGGAAUAAUGAAAUAGGACGGACUGAUUCUAUUUCGUUGGUUUCUAGGAUCACCGUAAUGAUUAAUAGGGAUAGUUGGGGGCAUUAGUAUUCAAUUGUCAGAGGUGAAAUUCUUGGAUUUAUUGAAGACUAACUACUGCGAAAGCAUUUGCCAAGGAUGUUUUCAUUAAUCAAGAACGA
rnacentral:rRNA from 1 species